rnacentral:lncRNA from 1 species
UUACCAGGUCCGGGAGGUCCAAAAUCAUCUCCGUCUUUCUGUGAUACCCUCUGUGACAAAUUCUAUUGCACCUACUUAUCCUUGUAUCGCCAGUCUUAACCAUUUGCUUAAAUUUUAAACAUUUCCUAUUUGUGCUAGAUAAAAAGCCGGAACAAGUGAGUUGUAGAAAUCGCUUGGCCCUUCUGGAAAUUAUUUGUACUUUUUUGAACAUUUCUCCUUUUCCUUUCAUUUAUUCUUCUCUCAUGCAAUUCCUCCCCUCCCUCCAUUCCUCCCAGUUCCUCUCCCCCAGAUCCACUGCUCCUCAUUUCCCUUCAGAAGAGAACAGAUCUCCCAGGGAUAUCAGCCAAACAUGAUCUAACACAUUGCAAUAAGAAGAGGCACAAACGUUUAUAUCAAGGCUGGACAAGGCAACCCAGUAGGAGGAAAAGGGUCCUAAGAGCAGACAAAAAUGUCAGAGACACACCCCCACCCCCCACUCCCACUGUUAGGAGUCUUACAAAAACCCUAAGCUAAACAACCACAAGGUAUACACAGAGGACAUAUCCUAGACCCAUUCAGGUUCUGUGAUUGGAGCUUCUGUCUCUGUGAACCCUGUGAGGCCUGCUUAGUUGGUUCUGUGGGCCAUGUUCUCCAGGACCACUCUGGCUCCUAAGUGUCCUACCACAUACCACCUACCCCCACUUCCCCAGGGAUUGCCUGAGCUCUGAGUGAUGUAAUCCACAUCUGUUCUCAUCAGGUAUGAGCACAAGCCUCUCUGAUGACCAUUGCUCUAGCAGAGUAUCAUUAGGAAUCAUUUCAUUGAUUUUUUGGGGGGUGGGGGUCGGGGGAGUUGCGUUUCGUUCUACACUAGGUCUCUGGGCCAUCUAGCUUCUGGUUCCUGGCCAUCCAGGCAGUGUUAAGCAUGGUCUCCAGUUAGACCAGUCACUGGUUGGUCACCCUCCUAAGGUCUGAGCCACCAUUGCACCAGUACAUCUUGCAGGCAGGAUAGGUUGUAGGUUGAAGGUUUUGUGGCUGUGUUGGUAUCCUAUAGUGGGCUAAUCCCACCACCACUGGAAGCCGUGCCUGGUUACAGAAGUUAGCCAGAUCUGGCUCUGUGGCCUCCAUAACUAGGAUUUCUUCCUAGGGUCAUCAUAAAAUCCAGGAACUUUGCAUUGCACUAGGUUUCCACAUAGCCCCCCCCCCCACCAAGUACCCCCCAAUUCCAUACAUGCCUCCCUCUGUUCUUCCCUCCUGCAUGGUAUUCCUCCUGUUCCCAUCCACACGAGCCCUCAGUCCACUCACAAAGUCUAUCCCAUUUCACUUUCCCAAGGAGAUCCAUACAUUCCAGCUAGAGCCCUCCUCAUUAUUUAGCAUCUCCCACCCUGACACUUUGAAGGUGCAUUUUAAAGGGGUGUGAUUCAAGGAACUGGUAAAACCAGAGUAGUUAUAUAUGGGAUGAGAGCUGUUGCAUCCCGUCUUUUAGACCUCUGUCUUGGUGCAUGGAGUACUUGAUUUUAGAAAAACAGUAUCUUCAUACCUCUGUACUUUGAGGUCAUGAGGCCUGAGAAUUGAAGCUUGUAUUUGAUUUGAGUGACAUCACUGUAAUAUUUAGAAGACGCUGCUCUGUAAGAGAAAAGACCUAAGAAUAGCUAUUUCUUUCAUUGUACAACUUUUUGUAUGUUUAAUUUCAAGGUAUACAUAUUUAGAUAUUCCCUGGUAGUAACAUAAUUUUAGUAUGGAAGAAGGCUAAAAAACCAGGUCAUAGUUUUUUGCUUAAUUGUGUCUGAGUAUAAACAGACUCUUCUUCAGUUUGAAAAGAUUACAACUCUUCAGUCCCCUAUGUGCAUGUAUGGAUAAAGGUAAGAGCAAAACAUACUACAUUGAAUAAAUUGUCUGUAAAAGUAAUUGACAUAAUUUUGUGUUCUCUUUGUAACACAUAGAUUUCAGGUUUUCUCACCUGAUAAAUUUAUAUUGGGAUUUUAUAUAGUACUUUAUCAGAAAUAUGAUUUCACUCCUGUGAAUACAGGGAGGACCCAUAUUUAUCAGCUGACUAUAUAUGCAUUUGAACUGGUCUCUUGCUCUGACUGGGAAAGUUAUGGACUCUCCCUGAGGCUUGACUAAGUCUAAUAAUGUGGGACUUAGGAAAGAGGGCUGUAAUGUGUGGCACAGAACUGGAGAGCUGUGUGACCGCUGUCAUUGUCCUCUUUUGUCGAGUGUUGUUAUAGUUUCCAGUCCUCAGCUGUAUUCUGCCAGCAUAUGUUCAUCACCUAUGGCGCCAGGUUCUUCUUGCAUGCAUGAUGUAUAUGCUUGGCUUUUCAGUGAUUACUUAAAACCUAAAGAGGUCAGUUGUGUAGAAGCUGACUUGUUUUGAAGGAAGUUAAGUUAGAGAGAAAUCUCUCUAUUCCUACUCUUCACUGGGAAUCAGUCACUGAGCAGCAUAAUUCUAAAUGUGUGUGGCUUUUGGGUACUUUAUGAACCUUUUUAUAGUAACUCAGAAGCAAGCAACUGAUGGAAUUAAUAUUUUCCCAUCAAGAAGUGAUUCUGUUAACCUCUUCUCCUCUGUCUAUUCCAUGUGUGCUUUAUGAAGAUAGGACGGUAUCCAUUGUUCAGGUUGUCUCAUGGAGCAGAGAUACAAGUUCAUGAAUCUGCAGGGUUUUUUUGUUGUUGUUGUUCUUUUUGUUUUUUUUUUUUUUGUUUUUUUUUUUUGUUUUUUUUUUUUUUUUGUGAGCCUUAGCUACUGCAGUCUUUAAAACAAAGAGAAAGAAUAAGCUAAAACACAACAAACCCCAAAACUCUCUACCCAACCAAACCACAACAAGAACAACUCCCCCCACCCCAGGAGAGAAACCUUCUUUGCUUCUUAGUUCUGGAUUGUGUGGGCUGUUUGUUGUUGGUGUUGUUUUUCAGGACAGGGUUUCUGUGUAGCUCUGGCUGUCCUGGAACUCAUUUUGUAGACCAGGCUGGCUUAGAAUGUAGAGCUCUGCCUGCCUCUGCCUCCUGAGUGCUGGGAUUAAAGGUGUAUACCUCCACCAUCACCUGAAUAUCUUCUUAAUUUC